rnacentral:rRNA from 1 species
UACGGGGGGGGCAAGCGUUGUUCGGAAUUACUGGGCGUAAAGGGCUCGUAGGUGGCCAACUAAGUCAGACGUGAAAUCCCUCGGCUUAACCGGGGAACUGCGUCCGAUACUGGAUGGCUUGAGUUUGGGAGAGGGAUGCGGAAUUCCAGGUGUAGCGGUGAAAUGCGUAGAUAUCUGGAGGAACACCGGUGGCGAAGGCGGCAUCCUGGACCAAUACUGACACUGAGGAGCGAAAGCCAGGGGAGCAAACGGG